GACCCCUUAGCUCAGUGGUAGAGCGUGUGAUUCCAGAUCUCUAUGAGUUGAACAUACGAUCUUAGGUUUCCACAAGGUCAAGCGUUCAACUCGCUUAGGGGUCA